rnacentral:rRNA from 1 species
ACAGGGAUUGCCUUAGUAACGGCGAGUGAAGCGGCAAUAGCUCAAAUUUGAAAUCUGGCUCUUUUAGAGUCCGAGUUGUAAUUUGCAGAGGGCGCUUUGGCAUUGGCAGCGGUCCAAGUUCCUUGGAACAGGACGUCACAGAGGGUGAGAAUCCCGUACGUGGUCGCUAGCCUUUGCCGUGUAAAGCCCCUUCGACGAGUCGAGUUGUUUGGGAAUGCAGCUCUAAAUGGGAGGUAAAUUUCUUCUAAAGCUAAAUACUGGCCAGAGACCGAUAGCGCACAAGUAGAGUGAUCGAAAGAUGAAAAGCACUUUGGAAAGAGAGUCAAAUAGCACGUGAAAUUGUUGAAAGGGAAGCGCUUGCAGCCAGACUUGCCUGUAGUUGCUUAUCUGGACUUUUGUCCAGUGCACUCUUCUGCGGGCAGGCCAGCAUCAGUUUGGGCGGUUGGAUAAAGGUCUCUGUCAUGUACCUCUCUUCGGGGAGGCCUUAUAGGGGAGACGACAUGCAACCAGCCUGGACUGAGGUCCGCGCAUCUGCUAGGAUGCUGGCGUAAUGGCUGUAAGCGGCCCGUCUUGAAACACGGACCAAGGAGUCUAACAUCUAUGCGAGUGUUUGGGUGUCAAGCCCAGACGCGUAAUGAAAGUGAACGGAGGUGGGAACCCUUUGGGUGCACCAUCGACCGAUCCUGAUGUCUUCGGAAGGAUUUGAGUAAGAGCAUGGCUGUUGGGACCCGAAAGAUGGUGAACUAUGCUUGAAUAGGGUGAAGCCAGAGGAAACUCUGGUGGAGGCUCGCAGCGGUUCUGACGUGCAAAUCGAUCGUCAAAUUUGGGCAUAGGGGCGAAAGACUAAUCGAACUAUCUAGUAGCUGGUUCCUGCCGAAGUUUCCCUCAGGAUAGCAGUAACGUAUUCAGUUUUAUGAGGUAAAGCGAAUGAUUAGAGGCCUGGGGGUUGAAACAACCUUCACCUAUUCUCAAACUUUAAAUAUGUAAGAAGUCCUUGUUACUUGAUUGAACGUGGACACUUGAAUGUACCGUUACUAGUGGGCCAUUUUUGGUAAGCAGAACUGGCGAUGCGGGAUGAACCGAACGCGGGGUUAAGGUGCCAGAAUAUACGCUCAUCAGACACCACAAAAGGUGUUAGUUCAUCUAGACAGCAGGACGGUGGCCAUGGAAGUCGGAAUCCGCUAAGGAGUGUGUAACAACUCACCUGCCGAAUGAACUAGCCCUGAAAAUGGAUGGCGCUCAAGCGUAUUACCCAUACCCCGCCGCCGGGGCAGAAUUUAUGCCCCGGCGAGUAGGCAGGCGUGGAGGCUCGUGACGAAGCCUUGG